rnacentral:rRNA from 1 species
GACAGAGGGUGCAAACGUUGUUCGGAUUUACUGGGCGUAAAGCGUGUGUAGGCGGCUUCGCAAGUUGGAUGUGAAAUCCCACGGCUCAACCGUGGACGUGCAUCCAAAACUGCGUCGCUAGAGUCUCGGAGAGGAAGGUGGAAUGCUUGGUGUAGAGGUGAAAUUCGUAGAUAUCAAGCAGAACACCUGCGGCGAAGGCGACCUUCUGGACGAUGACUGACGCUGAGGUGCGAAAGCGUGGGGAGCAAACAGG